rnacentral:rRNA from 1 species
UGGGGAAUAUUGGGCAAUGGGCGAAAGCCUGACCCAGCAACGCCGCGUGAAGGAAGAAGGCCUUCGGGUUGUAAACUUCUUUUAUGAGGGACGAAGGACGUGACGGUACCUCAUGAAUAAGCCACGGCUAACUACGUGCCAGCAGCCGCGGUAAUACGUAGGUGGCAAGCGUUGUCCGGAUUUACUGGGUGUAAAGGGCGUGUAGGCGGAUUGACAAGUCAGAUGUGAAAUCCAUGGGCUUAACCCAUGAACUGCAUUUGAAACUAUCGGUCUUGAGUAUCGGAGAGGCAAGCGGAAUUCCUAGUGUAGCGGUGAAAUGCGUAGAUAUUAGGAGGAACACCAGUGGCGAAGGCGGCUUGCUGGACGACAACUGACGCUGAGGCGCGAAAGCGUGGGGAGCAAACAGG